UGAGAGGAUGAUCAGUCACACUGGAACUGAGACACGGUCCAGACUCCUACGGGAGGCAGCAGUGGGGAAUAUUACACAAUGGAGGAAACUCUGAUGUAGCAACGCCGCGUGGAGGAUGACACAUUUCGGUGCGUAAACUCCUUUUAUAUGGGAAGAUAAUGACGGUACCAUAUGAAUAAGCACCGGCUAACUCCGUGCCAGCAGCCGCGGUAAUACGGAGGGUGCAAGCGUUACUCGGAAUCACUGGGCGUAAAGCGCAUGUAGGCGGUCUUGUAAGUUGGGUGUGAAAGCCUAUGGCUCAACCAUAGAACUGCACCCAAAACUACUAGACUAGAGUCUGGGAGAGGAAAAUGGAAUUAGUUGUGUAGGGGUAAAAUCCGUAGAGAUAACUAGGAAUACCAAAAGCGAAGGCAAUUUUCUGGAACAGUACCGACGCUCAGAUGCGAAAGCGUGGGUAGCAAACAGGAUUAGAUACCCUGGUAGUCCACGCCCUAAACGAUGAAUGUUAGUCGUCGGGAGGCUCGUCCUUUCGGUGAUGCAGCUAACGCAUUAAACAUUCCGCCUGGGGAGUACGGUCGCAAGAUUAAAACUCAAAGGAAUAGACGGGGACCCGCACAAGUGGUGGAGCAUGUGGUUUAAUUCGAAGAUACGCGAAGAACCUUACCUAGCCUUGACAUUGAUAGAAUCCGAUGGAAACAUUGGAGUGCCAGUUUACUGGAGCUUGAAAACAGGUGCUGCACGGCUGUCGUCAGCUCGUGUCGUGAGAUGUUGGGUUAAGUCCCGCAACGAGCGCAACCCUCGUCCUUAGUUACUAACGGUUCGGCCGAGGACUCUAAGGAGACUGCCUUCGUAAGGAGGAGGAAGGUGAGGACGACGUCAAGUCAUCAUGGCCCUUACGGCUAGGGCGACACACGUGCUACAAUGGAUAGGACAAUGAGACGCAAUACCGCGAGGUGGAGCAAAUCUAUAAACCUAUUCUCAGUUCGGAUUGUAGUCUGCAACUCGACUACAUGAAGCUGGAAUCACUAGUAAUCGUAGAUCAGCCAUGCUACGGUGAAUACGUUCCCGGGUCUUGUACUCACCGCCCGUCACACCAUGGGAGUUGAUUUCACCCGAAGCGGGGAAGCUAAACUGGCUACCCUCCACGGUGGAAUCAGCGACUGGGGUGAAGUGGUAACAAGG
rnacentral:rRNA from 1 species